CACGUAGGGUGCGAGCGUUGUCCGGAAUUAUUGGGCGUAAAGAGCUCGUAGGCGGUGUGUCACGUCGGCCGUGAAAACCUGCAGCUUAACUGUGGGCGUGCGGUCGAUACGGGCAUCACUGGAGUUCGGCAGGGGAGACUGGAAUUCCUGGUGUAGCGGUGAAAUGCGUAGAUAUCGGGAGGAACACCAGUGGCGAAGGCGACUUCCUGGCCUGUUCUUGACGCUGAGGCGCGAAAGCUAGGGUAGCAAACGGG
rnacentral:rRNA from 1 species